GACGAACGCUGGCGGCGUGCCUAAUACAUGCAAGUUGAGCGAUGAAGAUUGGUGCUUGCACCAAUUUGAAGAGCAGCGAACGGGUGAGUAACGCGUGGGGAAUCUGCCUUUGAGCGGGGGACAACAUUUGGAAACGAAUGCUAAUACCGCAUAAUAACUUUAAACAUAAGUUUUAAGUUUGAAAGAUGCAAUUGCAUCACUCAAAGAUGAUCCCGCGUUGUAUUAGCUAGUUGGUGAGGUAAAGGCUCACCAAGGCGAUGAUACAUAGCCGACCUGAGAGGGUGAUCGGCCACAUUGGGACUGAGACACGGCCCAAACUCCUACGGGAGGCAGCAGUAGGGAAUCUUCGGCAAUGGACGAAAGUCUGACCGAGCAACGCCGCGUGAGUGAAGAAGGUUUUCGGAUCGUAAAACUCUGUUGGUAGAGAAGAACGUUGGUGAGAGUGGAAAGCUCAACAAGUGACGGUAACUACCCAGAAAGGGACGGCUAACUACGUG
rnacentral:rRNA from 1 species